AUACAGAGGGUGCGAGCGUUAAUCGGAAUUACUGGGCGUAAAGCGCGCGUAGGCGGCUACUUAAGUCAGAUGUGAAAUCCCCGGGCUCAACCUGGGAACUGCAUCUGAUACUGGGUAGCUAGAGUUUUGGAGAGGGAAGUAGAAUUUCAGGUGUAGCGGUGAAAUGCAUAGAGAUCUGAAGGAAUACCAGUGGCGAAGGCGACUUCCUGGCCAAAAACUGACGCUGAGGUGCGAAAGCGUGGGUAGCAAACGGGAUUAGAUACCCUGGUAGUCC
rnacentral:rRNA from 1 species